GCAGAUAUGGCGGAAUUGGCAGACGCACUAGACUUAGGAUCUAGCGCCAAUGGCGUAAGGGUUCGACUCCCUUUACCUGCACCA
rnacentral:tRNA from 1 species